AUGUCUGUACUGACACACCUACAACUGAAAGAGAAAGAGAAUAAGUGGAGAAAGAGACUGGAGCAGAGAGUGGAGAAAGAGACUGGAGCGGAGAGUGGAGAAGAGACUGGAGCGGAGAGUGGAGAAGAGACUGGAGCGGAGAGUGGAGAAGAGACUGGAGCGGAGAGUGGAGAAAGAGACUGGAGCGGAGAGUGGAGAAGAGACUGGAGCGGAGAGUGGAGAAAGAGACUGGAGCGGAGAGUGGAGAAGAGACUGGAGUGGAGAGUGGAGAAAGAGACUGGAGCGGAGAGUGGAGAAGAGACUGGAGCGGAGAGUGGAGAAGAGACUGGAGUGGAGAGUGGAGAAAGAGACUGGAGCGGAGAGUGGAGAAGAGACUGGAGUGGAGAGUGGAGAAGAGACUGGAGUGGAGAGUGGAGAAAGAGACUGGAGCGGAGAGUGGAGAAGAGACUGGAGCGGAGAGUGGAGAAGAGACUGGAGCGGAGAGUGGAGAAGAGACUGGAGUGGAGAGUGGAGAAAGAGACUGGAGCGGAGAGUGGAGAAGAGACUGGAGCAGAGAGUGGAGAAGAGACUGGAGUGGAGAGUGGAGAAGAGACUGGAGUGGAGAGUGGAGAAAGAGACUGGAGCAGAGAGUGGAGAAAGAGACUGGAGUGGAGAGUGGAGAAAGAGACUGGAGCGGAGAGUGGAGAAGAGACUGGAGCAGAGAGUGGAGAAGAGACUGGAGUGGAGAGUGGAGAAGAGACUGGAGUGGAGAGUGGAGAAAGAGACUGGAGCAGAGAGUGGAGAAAGAGACUGGAGCAGAGAGUGGAGAAAGAGAGUGGAGAAGAGACUGGAGCGGAGAGUGGAGAAGAGACUGGAGUGGAGAGUGGAGAAGAGACUGGAGCGGAGAGUGGAGAAAGAGACUGGAGCGGAGAGUGGAGAAGAGACUGGAGCGGAGAGUGGAGAAAGAGACUGGAGCGGAGAGUGGAGAAGAGACUGAAGCGGAGAGUGGAGAAAGAGACUGGAGCGGAGAGUGGAGAAGAGACUGGACUGGAGAGUGGAGAAGAGACUGGAGUGGAGAGUGGAGAAGAGACUGGAGUGGAGAGUGGAGAGAAACACAACUCUAAUCUGUCUUUCAUUUAG
rnacentral:lncRNA from 8 species